rnacentral:misc_RNA from 1 species
GAAAAAUGGUAAAACACCAAAAUUUAACAAAAUGCAAUAAAAUUCUUGGAUACCUUACGGCUCUAUUUCAAUAGACUCUCACAAUUACAGAUACCCAGAUACCCAGACGAUAAAUUUUUUUAGAAACUUUACGCAGAAAUGCAUGUAAUAAGAAAUGGCAAGAAUACCCAGAUCCUUCCUUGAAAAGGAUACCCCAAAAACCAAAAAAUAAAAGCCCUCAAUAAAGCUCAGACCACAUCAAACUACAGAGAGAGAGAGAGAGAGAG